rnacentral:rRNA from 1 species
AGAGUUUGAUCAUGGCUCAGAACGAACGCUGGCGGCAUGCCUAACACAUGCAAGUCGAACGAGGCCCUUCGGGGUUUAGUGGCGCACGGGUGCGUAACGCGUGGGAAUCUGCCCUUUGGUUCGGAAUAACAGCUGGAAACGGCUGCUAAUACCGGAUGAUGACGAAAGUCCAAAGAUUUAUCGCCAGAGGAUGAGCCCGCGUUGGAUUAGGUAGUUGGUGGGGUAAAGGCCUACCAAGCCGACGAUCCAUAGCUGGUCUGAGAGGAUGAUCAGCCACACUGGGACUGAGACACGGCCCAGACUCCUACGGGAGGCAGCAGUGGGGAAUAUUGGACAAUGGGCGCAAGCCUGAUCCAGCAAUGCCGCGUGAGUGAUGAAGGCCCUAGGGUUGUAAAGCUCUUUUACCCGGGAAGAUAAUGACUGUACCGGGAGAAUAAGCCCCGGCUAACUCCGUGCCAGCAGCCGCGGUAAUACGGAGGGGGCUAGCGUUGUUCGGAAUUACUGGGCGUAAAGCGCACGUAGGCGGCUUUGUAAGUCAGAGGUGAAAGCCUGGAGCUCAACUCCAGAACUGCCUUUGAGACUGCAUCGCUUGAAUCCAGGAGAGGUCAGUGGAAUUCCGAGUGUAGAGGUGAAAUUCGUAGAUAUUCGGAAGAACACCAGUGGCGAAGGCGGCUGACUGGACUGGUAUUGACGCUGAAGUGCGAAAGCGUGGGGAGCAAACAGGAUUAGAUACC